rnacentral:rRNA from 1 species
CGCCUUGGGAAAAACCGGGGCCGUUCCUUAAAUNACCUGGGAAUUAUUGGUUGACGUGACCGCAUGGUCUGCGUUUGGAAAGAUUUUUCGGUUGGGGAUGGGCUCUGCGGCCUAUCAGCUUGUUGGUGAGGUAAUGGCUCACCAAGGCGUCGACGGGUAGCCGGCCUGAGAGGGUGACCGGCCACAACUGGGACUGAGACACGGCCCAGACUGCCUAUCGGGAGGCAGCAGUGGGGAAUAUUGCGACAAUGGGCGGAAGCCUGAUGCAGCAACGUCCGCGUGAGGGAUGAUCGGGCUUUCGGGUUGUAAACCUCUUUUAGCAGGGAAGAAGCGAAAGUGACGGUACCUCA